UGAGGAAUUAUGCGCAAUGGACGAAAGUCUGACGCUGCGACGUCGCGUGGGUGAUGAAGGUCUUCGGAUCGUAAAACCCUGUCGAGAGGGAAGAAAGAGCGGGCGCUAAUAUCGCCUACUUCUGACGGUACCUCUGGAGGAAGCCCCGGCUAACUCUGUGCCAGCAGCCGCGGUAAUACAGAGGGGGCAAGCGUUGUUCGGAAUUACUGGGCGUAAAGCGCGCGUAGGUGGUUUGUUAAGUUGGAUGUGAAAUCCCCGGGCUCAACCUGGGAACUGCAUUCAAAACUGACAAGCUAGAGUAUGGUAGAGGGUGGUGGAAUUUCCUGUGUAGCGGUGAAAUGCGUAGAUAUAGGAAGGAACACCAGUGGCGAAGGCGACCACCUGGACUGAUACUGACACUGAGGUGCGAAAGCGUGGGGAGCAAACAGGAUUAGAUACCCGCGUAGUCCCUGAGCGGGCUGGCAAGGCGCAU
rnacentral:rRNA from 1 species